GUGGUCUCAGCCCUCUAGCAAGCUGCUUGCCAGGUCUGUUCAGGCUGUUCCUGCAGCAACUGCUCCUGAGGAAGAUGUCUCGAAUGUGUCACUGUGGGAGACUGCAAAACAAGAGAAGUUGCAGCCCUUCUCUCAUGUCUUUCCUGCUGGCUGGUGAUUCCUGCAUGAAGCUCUGUAGGCCUAUGUGAUUCCCUCCAGCAACCCAAGGAUGGGCAGAGGCAGGACAGCAGCAUCUCCAGGAGAUACAGGACUGCCUUGUACAGAUCCCAGCUUGUCUUGCUCUUAACUGAAUGCCACCCAUGAACCACAGUUCAUCAGGCAAAGCUUGACUUGACAUACAGAAGCUGAUGAUUUGUUAGGAGCCAGGAUUUGACAACACAAAGAAGUACUGCUGCUUAUCGGCUCUGACCUGCAUCUCCCAGAGCUUGGACUGCUUGUUUGGGCUCCUCUGGGCAGGAGGACAGGGAAGAGUGGAGUGUCCUUUGAAUGGGCUCCAGCAGCAACAGGUGGUGAGAAAGGCGAAGCGGAACGGCUCCUACUGGUGUAAAGGAUACUUCUCUCCCCACACUAAUCCAGCUCUGUUACACCCAGUAUAGAAGGGGCCACUCUGGCCAGGCGCUUCCACACUGCGGAUGCUGCCCUCCCACCAGCUCUGACUGCCUUCUGCAACAGAA